rnacentral:lncRNA from 1 species
UCAUUUGUAUGGCACAAUCGGCACCUGAAAGUCUUCGCUGACGAUUAUUCGUACCAGGAAUACGUAUAUUACAGUGACUAAAACAUUCGCGGAAUUAUAGCGAUACCUAAAGGAUUUUAAACACAAAUUGGAGUUCGAUCUUCCUGUGGCAGUUGCAUCUGCAGCAAACAACUUGAACUGUAAGAGGACUUGGACUGAUGAGGAAUUUCUUGAACUUGAGCUGGAGUGGAAUUUCUGAAAUAGAAACACAAUACAUGUUGAUUCAAGAAGAUUUAGGGACUGAUUUCAUUUAAUAGAGUUAAUGAUUCAACCAUCUUUGUGAAUGAAUACCGGCAAUCAGACAUGAAGUAUCACAAUCAGACAUGAAGUAUCCUGCCAGUGAAAAGAAAAAUUUAUUCAUGACAGCAUGGUUCUUUCCUGAACCAGUUUUGAAAUGAACCAGUACAUGUACUUAAUAUAUCAAUACAUACUAGACAAUAUAUUUUACAAUGCCAUCAUAUAUUUACCAUUGUUCAAUGAAAAUUAAAUCUCAAUUAAUGAUUUGUCAAUGAAUAAAAUCGUUGUCUGGAGUUCAAAUGUGAAUGUGCACCCUAAGUGAUAUAUUAAUAUACAUCUGAAACACAAACAAUGAUUAUAUUCAAGAGGAAAUCACUAAAUGAGAUAUAUUGCUUCGAAACCAAGAUAAUACCAAGGAUUUUAAUGUACAUCAUUGAUGACAUCCAUCUAAUGUUUUGACGAUUAUUUUGGUUUCUUUUCCAGUGCACCCUUUGGCUCUUGACAAUUUUGAGGUAAUAAAUUUGACAUAAGAAAAAUAAACUUUGGUAUAAUAACCCAAUAAAAGUUUCAACAG